rnacentral:tRNA from 1 species
UCCCGUGUGGCUCAGUUGGUAAAGCAUGGUGUUUGCCACGCCAGGGUUGUGGGUUCGAUUCCCACAGGGGAC